rnacentral:misc_RNA from 1 species
GAAAUGGCAGUGGAAGAAGAAGACACGAGCACCGUUCCAAGGACAGGGUUGCAGGAGUGGAAGCUUGUCCAAUCUCUCCUCCACGACAUCGUUUCCGAUGGCCACGUCUCGAUCCCUCCUCCGUCCACGAAAUUCGAAAUAUUGUAAUCAACUUCUCCUCUCUACAUUAUCUGCUUCGCAAUUGAUUUGUUCUGAUAUGAAAUCACUCUUUAUUGUAGGAUCGAUUGAUUCUUCUAUGAUGUUUCAGAUGGCAGGCAUUAACACUGGAGAGAAUAUUUUCUCCUUUGUUGUCCAUUGUUCGUAAUAAAAUAAUUGAAUUAGGGAUUGCUUGCUUUUGUUUAAUAAUUUCAAAAAUCUCAUCAGAAGAUGAGAUUCAUGAAAUCAUGAAACCCAUAUGCAUCAUUUUUUAUUGCUUGGUUAGGGUUUGAAAACUCACUCUACCCAUGGAGUGUAAUUCUUAAUACUACCACAAAGCAAUUAUUUUGGGGAAUGGGGAUUCCACUUUAAAUUGAUGAGUGAAAGUUGGCAUUCUCGUGUGGUUCAUUACUAUAACCAAAGAUGUAAUCUUCUGUGUCCCUGGUCCGGGUCCUUGUUCAAGGAAAUGUACAACAUUUUU